CCUACGGGAGGCAGCAGUCGAGAAUCAUUCACAAUGGGGGAAACCCUGAUGGUGCGACGCCGCGUGGGGGAAUGAAGGUCUUCGGAUUGUAAACCCCUGUCAUGUGGGAGCAAAUUAAAAAGAUAGUACCACAAGAGGAAGAGACGGCUAACUCUGUGCCAGCAGCCGCGGUAAUACAGAGGUCUCAAGCGUUGUUCGGAAUCACUGGGCGUAAAGCGUGCGUAGGCUGUUUCGUAAGUCGUGUGUGAAAGGCGCGGGCUCAACCCGCGGACGGCACAUGAUACUGCGAGACUAGAGUAAUGGAGGGGGAACCGGAAUUCUCGGUGUAGCAGUGAAAUGCGUAGAUAUCGAGAGGAACACUCGUGGCGAAGGCAGGUUACUGGACAUUAACUGACGCUGAGGCACGAAGGCCAGGGGAGCGAAAGGGAUUAGAUACCCGUGUAGUC
rnacentral:rRNA from 1 species